rnacentral:misc_RNA from 1 species
UUCACCCUCUUGUUCUUUUAUCAUUCAUUCUCCAGCAAAGCUUGGCAAGUAAAGCUCCAUUGAUAUCCUUAGCUUUUCUCAAGCCAAGACCCCCCACACGCUAUAGGUUGGCAAAUUGGAUCCCAAUUCACCAAGUGAAUUCGCCCUUUGUUCUCCGAGUCUCCCCACACAAAACCUCUAUUUAAAUUUAAAGGAUCCAGGCAAUCAGUUACUAUUCCUGGCAACUCUACCGUUUGCAUUGUUUAAUUUGGGAUCGACGAGGUCACAGAUUUAGCUAAAGUCACUCUUCCCACCAUAGAGAGGGUAGAGGGAAGCCAUCCCGCCAGCUUUUGGUUUACUCUUGAAGUUAAGUCUCCAUAAGUAGCUUUAGUAAUUCUUCCAUGCACCAAAGGGA